UACGUAGGGAGCAAGCGUUGUUCGGAUUUACUGGGCGUAAAGGGCGCGUAGGCGGCAAUUCAAGUCAUCUGUGAAAUCUCCGGGCUUAACUCGGAACGGUCAGAUGAUACUGCUUUGCUAGAGUGCAGAAGGGGCAAUCGGAAUUCUUGGUGUAGCGGUGAAAUGCGUAGAUAUCAAGAGGAACACCUGAGGUGAAGACGGGUUGCUGGGCUGACACUGACGCUGAGGCGCGAAAGCCAGGGGAGCAAACGGG
rnacentral:rRNA from 1 species